AGAGUUUGAUCAUGGCUCAGAUUGAACGCUGGCGGUAUGCUUAACACAUGCAAGUCGAGCGGUAACGAUGGAAGCUUGCUUCCAGGCGACGAGCGGCGGACGGGUGAGUAACGCGUGGAAACCUGCCUACUAGCGGGGGAUAGCCCGGAGAAAUCCGGAUUAAUACCGCAUACGCCCUACGGGGGAAAGCUGGGGAUCUUCGGACCUGGCACUAGUAGGUGAGUCCGCGUUAGAUUAGCUUGUUGGUGGGGUAAUGGCCUACCAAGGCGACGAUCUAUAGCUGGUCUGAGAGGACGAUCAGCCACACUGGGACUGAGACACGGCCCAGACUCCUACGGGAGGCAGCAGUGGGGAAUAUUGCACAAUGGGCGCAAGCCUGAUGCAGCAAUACCGCGUGUGUGAAGAAGGCCUGCGGGUUGUAAAGCACUUUCAAUAGUGAAGAAAAGCCUGGUAUUAAUACUACCGGGUCUUGACGUUAACUAUACAAGAAGCACCGGCUAACUCCGUGCCAGCAGCCGCGGUAUACGGAGGGUGCAAGCGUUAAUCGGAAUUACUGGGCGUAAAGCGUGCGUAGGCGGCUUAUUAAGUCAGAUGUGAAAGCCCCGGGCUUAACCUGGGAACUGCAUUUGAUACUGGUAAGCUAGAGUAUGGUAGAGGGGGGUAGAAUUCCUAGUGUAGCGGUGAAAUGCGUAGAUAUUAGGAGGAAUACCAGUGGCGAAGGCGGCCCCCUGGACCAAUACUGACGCUGAGGUACGAAAGCGUGGGUAGCGAACAGGAUUAGAUACCCUGGUAGUCCACGCUGUAAACGAUGUCAACUAGCCGUCGGGACCUUGAGGUUUCGGUGGUGCAGCUAACGCGUGAAGUUGACCGCCUGGGGACUACGGCCGCAAGGCUAAAACUCAAAUGAAUUGACGGGGGCCCGCACAAGCGGUGGAGCAUGUGGUUUAAUUCGAUGCAACGCGAAGAACCUUACCUACCCUUGACAUCCUCAGAACUUGUAAGAGAUUACUUGGUGCCUUCGGGAAUUGAGUGACAGGUGCUGCAUGGCUGUCGUCAGCUCGUGUCGUGAGAUGUUGGGUUAAGUCCCGCAACGAGCGCAACCCUUAUCCUUAGUUGCCAGCACAUUAUGGUGGGAACUCUAAGGAGACUGCCGGUGAUAAACCGGAGGAAGGUGGGGAUGACGUCAAGUCAUCAUGGCCCUUAUGGGUAGGGCUACACACGUGCUACAAUGGCCAGUACAGAGGGCCGCGAACUCGCGAGAGUAAGCAAAUCCCAGAAAGCUGGUCGUAGUCCGGAUUGGAGUCUGCAACUCGACUCCAUGAAGUUGGAAUCGCUAGUAAUCGUGAAUCAGAAUGUCACGGUGAAUACGUUCCCGGGCCUUGUACACACCGCCCGUCACACCAUGGGAGUGGGCUGCAAAAGAAGUGGGUAGUUUAACCUUCGGGAGAACGCUCACCACUUUGUGGUUCAUGACUGGGGUGAAGUCGGAACAAGGUA
rnacentral:rRNA from 1 species